GAUCCCUUAGCUCAGAUGGUAGAGCAUUUGACUUUUAAUCAAAGGGUCGGGAGUUCGAAUCUCCCAGGGAUCACCA
rnacentral:tRNA from 1 species